CAGCCGCCGCGGGAAUACGAAGGGUGCAAGCGUUACUCGGAAUUACUGGGCGUAAAGCGUGCGUAGGUGGUUGUUUAAGUCUGCUGUGAAAGCCCUGGGCUCAACCUGGGAAUUGCAGUGGAUACUGGGCAACUAGAGUAAGGUAGAGGAUAGUGGAAUUUCCGGUGUAGCAGUGAAAUGCGUAGAGAUCGGAAGGAACAUCUGUGGCGAAGGCGACUAUCUGGGCCAUUACUGACACUGAGGCACGAAAGCGUGGGGAGCAAACAGGAUUAGAUACCCGCGUAGUCCCUGUCUCUUAUAU
rnacentral:rRNA from 1 species